rnacentral:rRNA from 1 species
CGCCAGACUCCUACGGGAGGCAGCAGUGGGGGAUAUUGCACAAUGGGGGAAACCCUGAUGCAGCGACGCCGCGUGGGUGAAGAAGCGCCUCGGCGCGUAAAGCCCUGUCAGCAGGGAAGAAAAUGACGGUACCUGAAGAAGAAGCCCCGGCUAACUACGUGCCAGCAGCCGCGGUAAUACGUAGGGGGCAAGCGUUAUCCGGAUUUACUGGGUGUAAAGAGGGCGCAGACGGCGAUGCAAGCCAGGAGUGAAAGCCCGCGGCCCAACCGCGGGACUGCAUUGGGAACUGGCGCGCUGGAGUGCCGGAGGGGUGGGCGGAAUUCCUAGUGUAGCGGUGAAAUGCGUAGAUAUUAGGAGGAACACCAGUGGCGAAGGCGGCCUACUGGACGGUGACUGACGCUGAGGCUCGAAAGCGUGGGGAGCAAACAGGAUUAGAUACCCGAGUA